GAUGAACGCUGGCGGCGUGCCUAAUACAUGCAAGUCGAGCGAAUGGAUUAAGAGCUUGCUCUUAUGAAGUUAGCGGCGGACGGGUGAGUAACACGUGGGUAACCUGCCCAUAAGACUGGGAUAACUACGGGAAACCGGGGCUAAUACCGGAUAACAUUUUGAACAGCAUGGUUCGAAAUUGAAAGGCGGCUUCGGCUGUCACUUAUGGAUGGAUCCGCGUCGCAUUAGCUAGUUGGUAAGGUAACGGCUCACCAAGGCAACGAUGCGUAGCCGACCUGAGAGGGUGAUCGGCCACACUGGGACUGAGACACGGCCCAGACUCCUACGGGAGGCAGCAGUAGGGAAUCUUCCGCAAUGGACGAAAGUCUGACGGAGCAACGCCGCGUGAGUGAUGAAGGCUUUCGGGUCGUAAAACUCUGUUGUUAGGGAAGAACAAGUGCUAGUUGAAUAAGCUGGCACCUUGACGGUACCUAACCAGAAAGCCACGGCUAACUACGUGCCAGCCGCCGCGGUAA
rnacentral:rRNA from 1 species